rnacentral:rRNA from 1 species
AUUGAACGCUGGCGGCAUGCUUUACACAUGCAAGUCGAACGGCAGCGCGGACUUCGGUCUGGCGGCGAGUGGCGAACGGGUGAGUAAUGCAUCGGAACGUACCUAUUAGUGGGGGAUAACGCUUCGAAAGGAGUGCUAAUACCGCAUACGACCUAAGGGUGAAAGUGGGGGACCUUCGGGCCUCACGCUAAUAGAUCGGCCGAUGUCUGAUUAGCUAGUUGGCGGGGUAAAAGCCCACCAAGGCGACGAUCAGUAGCGGGUCUUAGAGGACGAUCCGCCAAACUGGGACUGAGAAACGGCCCAGACUCCUACGGGAGGCAGCAGUGGGGAAUCUUGGACAAUGGGCGCAAGCCUGAUCCAGCAAUGCCUCGUGGGUGAAGAAGGCCUUCGGGUUGUAAAGCCCUUUUGUUUGGGAGCAAAUCCCACGGAUUAAUACCCUGUGGGGAUGAGAGUACCAAAAGAAUCAGCACCGGCUAACUACGUGCCAGCAGCCGCCGUAACAC